rnacentral:lncRNA from 1 species
GUUUGCUAAUGAAUUCAUAUGUGACCUGUUGAAUUUGAUGUAUCUUUUGGACUUGUAGGUGAAGAAGUCACAUGUGGUGAAUAUAUUAUCAUCAGAAUGCGGAGCAAUGAAAUGUAAACAGAUAGGAAUCGUCACUAAAGCUCCAACUGCAGCCUCCGGGUGCCAUAGCUUUUGCACCAUCCAUUUGCACCAUCUCUGCAUUGCUCUCAAUCACUGCCACGAGUCUGGUGAUGCGCUAAGCUCGGGGCAGGAUCUCAAGGGCUUUGAGGAUGUCUGCAUCAUCUGUAUUGACCUGCUCCCCAGAUUAAUACCGAAGCACUGCAAUUUCUUGAGGAUUAUCCACCUAGGAGGAAAUGAUACGCUGGCCCAUCCAUAGUAGUCAAGGGAACCACCAUCUCAGAUGGUAGAAACCACUCAGAAGGAUCAACUGCUGCAGACGGGAAGAGGAGCAACCUCGUGAAUAAUUUCGUGACAGGAUAUUGCAGGAGGGACUUUGUCCAAAUGUGUGCAGGGUAGUUGGCUACAGCAACAAGGAUGACGAACACAGAUGAAUUGAUCAGGAUGUAACCAUUCAAAGUUGAGAGACAGGAUUAGAGGACUUCUCCGAGGCGGCUCCAAUGGAUGCCAGCAGAGUUAAAGUGUCCAAUGGAGAGAAGAGAAGGCUUGGGAAAUCCAGAGUCCAUUCAUUCAUCGCCCUCCUCCUAGAACAACAAAAGCGAGCCCCAGUACUCAUCAGCAUGGACUCUGUGUGUAGUCAUCUCCCUUAGUUUCAGAGGUUCCUGCCUACAGCAAAACUUUAGAGGCUUAGAGUUUAACGGUCAUAGCUUAUUCACCUCCAACUGUGUCCUAGUUCAAGAGAAACACUUCACAUAUCUGUAGGGAGAAGAUAAUGAACCAAGGAUACAAGUUAAGCCUUAGCUAAGACCUGUUACUCAGGAAAAAGAGCUAAAACAAGCUGCUUAGAUCAGCACCAAUGUUAGGUAGAGAGAAAAAGAAACGCUGCAUAGAAAUCUUAAGGUUCACAUGUGCUCCAGGCUGGGUCAACAACUUCUAAUUUCCUUUGCCAACCAACCAUGUCUUUGACAGAAAUGAUCCUUCUACAUAGACCACAGAGGGAUCCAAUGGAGGUUUCUCUUCCUGAAUUUGGGGAUUCAGAAUCUGGACAAAUUCCUUUCCAUCAAAGUCCAGUACAAAAGUAGUACCAUGGCAGUCCCUGCAGGGACUUGCAUCACUUUCCCUAGAGAUAUCAAGAGAAUUUUUAGUGAUAAGAAUAUGGCACAAAAUGAGAAAUCCCAUUACUCUUAAGAGAAUCUCUUCCUUCUCAAAGGCACCUGAUUAAUACAUAUAGUACUAUCAGUAAGGCUGAGCAAAAGGAUACUGAUGUUCUGAGUGAUCUUAAAUCAUGUAAUAAUAACUUUAUUCGUAGUAUAGAACGGAAUAUUCCCUAUUAGUAAUCAGUUCCUUUGCCAGAUCCUCAUAGUAUCUUAGUCACUGUUUUAUUGUUAUGAAGAGAAACUUUGACCACAGCACCUCUUAGAAAAAAGGAAGCAUUUAAUCGGGACUUCCUUAUGGUUUCACAGUUUUACAUAAUUGUCAACAUGGCAGAGAACAUGGGGGCACGCAAACAGACAUGGUGCUGGAGAAGUAGCGGAGAAUAUACAGCAACAUAUAGAUACAAAAUAUAGAUACAUAUAGAUACAGAAUAUAGAUACAUAUAGCUACAUAUAGAUCUGCAGGCAGCAGGAAGAGACUGGGACAAGGCCAUACCUUCUAAGGCUUCUCAAGGAGUGUCACUUCCUGAUGACCAAGCAUUCAAGUGUAUGAGCUUAUGGGAGCCAUUCUUAUUCAAGCCACCACACAUAGCAAAGCUGAUAAUGUCAUUUUCUGAAUUAACCAGGCCAAGGCACACUUCUUAGCAACAUGGUUACCUGGUAACCAGAGAUUUUUCUCAUCCCAUGAGAGAUUUCAUUCAAGAACUGAUCUUCUAACAGUUUUGUCUCUCUUAAGAAUGCUACAGACAGGGUGGGGUGAGGCACAGUGCUGAAGCCCCUCAAGUUUCCCAGAGGGAUGAGUCCAUGAAAGACGAAAAUCAUGUGGUCACACUGAGCAUAGACUUCACAAGCAUCAUGCUAGGAUUCCAUUUUCUUUCUCAACACAAUGAUAAAUUCUUCUUCCAAUAAGCAGAAAAUCAUCCAAUGGGAAAAAAAAAUAAAACCAACUAACUUGCAGUCCUUUGGAACAGUUUCAUAGCUUACAGGAUGGCUUCAUAACCCUGGGGACACUCGUUUUGACAUGAAAACUUCCUUCAGAACAGGAAUUCUGAUCCAACAUGUGCUCAGACAUCAUUUCAGUCACUUGCAAAUGAACAAGAAAGCUCAUGUAAAUGAGGAGGCUCAACUCCCAGGCCUGGUGAGUGGGUAAGACAUUCCUCUGCUGGGUUUUGAAGGCUGUCUGAAACCAUCGGCUGACAUCCUUCUCUGUGUGCAUGUAUGCACUAUCUACGGGAAAUUCAGCUCCAACCGGUUGUCUCUACAGCUCCCUUAAUCUUCUCCUCCCUCCUCCUGGCAUUGGCAUGUGUCCCAGGACUGCAGCGAGGAGUGCUUACCAACAAAGGUGCUGGCAUCUGCAUUUGUUUCACAGCCACAAACCUAAUGGUUCCAUGAUUUUGGCGAGCAAAACUGUCAAAAUGCCUGAGCACAAGAGAUCACAAGAUGAGCCAAGGCAUAGUGUGCAUGCCUUCCUUCCCAGCACUCGGAAGGCAGAGGCAAGGGGAUCUCUGUGGGUUCAAGGCCAGCCUGAAUCACAAGGUGUACUGGGGAUUCUUUUUUAUUGUUUUCCUUUUGCUAUCUGGAAUAGUUUGAGAUUGUAUUUGAUCAGUGCAUUAAACAAC